rfam:Perigonia lusca single nucleopolyhedrovirus, complete genome.
CAUUUUUACACAUCGUAUAUACAGCAAUAUACUACACAAUGAUUUUUGUCACAGUUUAUUAGAUACAAUCGGUCACCAAUAUACUACGAUUCCUAGUAAAUAUACUACGAUGUUGCCUGAAUAUACGUUCAAUAAUGUAAACAACCCAAAAUAUAUCGAAAGAUAUGAGGCAAAUAUACCGAAAAACGGUGUUACGAUUUU